rnacentral:rRNA from 1 species
ACGAACGCUGGCGGCGUGCUUAACACAUGCAAGUCGAGCGAUGAAGCACCUUCGGGUGUGAAUUAGCGGCGAACGGGUGAGGAACACGUGAAGAAUCUGCCUUCAACUCUGGGAUAACUCCGGGAAACCGGGGCUAAUACCGGAUAUGAGCCUUGAUCGCAUGAUCGGGGCUGGAAAGUUUUUCGGUUGAAGAUGACUUCGCGGCCUAUCAGCUUGUUGGUGAGGUAAUGGCUCACCAAGGCGACGACGGGUAGCCGGCCUGAGAGGGCGACCGGCCACACUGGGACUGAGACACGGCCCAGACUCCUACGGGAGGCAGCAGUGGGGAAUAUUGGGCAAUGGAGGAAACUCUGACCCAGCGACGCCGCGUGAGGGAUGAAGGCCUUCGGGUUGUAAACCUCUUUCAGUAGGGAAGAAGCGAAAGUGACGGUACCUACAGAAGAAGCACCGGCUAACUAUGUGCCAGCAGCCGCGGUAAUACAUAGGGUGCAAGCGUUGUCCGGAAUUAUUGGGCGUAAAGAGCUCGUAGGUGGUUCGAUACGUCGGAUGUGAAAAUCAGGGGCUCAACCCCUGACCUGCAUCCGAUACGGUCGAGCUAGAGUUUGGUAGGGGAGACUGGAAUUCCUGGUGUAGCGGUGGAAUGCGCAGAUAUCAGGAGGAACACCGAUGGCGAAGGCAGGUCUCUGGGCCAAUACUGACACUGAGGAGCGAAAGCGUGGGGAGCGAACAGGAUUAGAUACCCUGGUAGUCCACGCCGUAAACGGUGGGCGCUAGUUGUGCGAACCUUCCACGGUUUGUGCGACGCAGCUAACGCAUUAAGCGCCCCGCCUGGGGAGUACGAUCGCAAGAUUAAAACUCAAAUGAAUUG